AGGUUUGUUGUUCAAGACUGGUCCAUCCACAACGUGUAGUCAAAAAAUUCAUAACAGUUGGAUGCUUGCAGGAAUCAUGUUAAUUAGCUAUUUGUUUUAGUAGCAAUCUGGUGAUUCCUGCUCCCAUUCAGGGUUCAUCAAAUGGAAGACUUAAGACUCAAAUCUUGAUACUAACUUAUGUUCAAAGAAGGUUGCCCAGAUUCUAGCGAAUUUUAGGUCUCAGG